UGCUAGGCCUAGUCCUUUGGGGAUC
rnacentral:piRNA from 1 species